GCCAGUACGGUGUAGUGGUUAGCAUGCUGGACUAGUACCUGGGAGACCAGGGUUCAAAUCCCUAACCCCUGGGCCA